AACGAACGCUGGCGGCAGGCUUAACACAUGCAAGUCGAACGAGAUCUUCGGAUCUAGUGGCAGACGGGUGAGGAACACGUGGGAACAUCCCUUUCAGUUCGGAAUAACGUUGGGAAACUAACGCUAAUACCGGAUACGUCCUUCGGGAGAAAGAUUUAUCGCUGAAAGAUUGGCCCGCGUCUGAUUAGCUAGUUGGUGAGGUAAUGGCUCACCAAGGCUACGAUCAGUAGCUGAUCUGAGAGGAUGAUCAGCCACAUUGGGACUGAGACACGGCCCAAACUCCUACGGGAGGCAGCAGUGGGGAAUAUUGGACAAUGGGCGCAAGCCUGAUCCAGCCAUGCCGCGUGAGUGAUGACGGCCUUCGGGUUGUAAAGCUCUUUUACCAGGGAUGAUAAUGACAGUACCUGGAGAAUAAGCUCCGGCUAACUCCGUGCCAGCCGCCGCGGUAA
rnacentral:rRNA from 1 species